GCCUGCAGUAAAACCAGGCAGGAGCCGCGUCCUCUACCACAGGCAAGUUACUGCGCCUCUCUGCGCCUGUCCUAUUCUCCGUGAAACGGUAGAGUGGAACAUAGUCCGUGCAACAAGAUAUUAGGGAAGCCGAGUCGAGAUUCCAGGAUGAAGUCACUUUGUGACUUCCCUGCGCAAGGAAGAGACCGCUUACUUGCACCAGGAGGAUCCUCAGAGGGGGCUAAUGCCUGAACUGUUCUGGAAUUCUCCUGCCUGAAGCCCACCAAUGACUUCUCUCCUGUCCUCAGAACUAACCCAGAGCAGCCUGUAUCCUUAAACCAACCUCCUCUUCUGGGAGCCACCACCGCUCACCCCUCAGGCCUGGCCAGUCCUCUCUGCAGCAGGUGCCUCCUACCUUGAAUCCUUGCUUCUGCCUGCAACUUGGCUCACAGGCAGCCAGGAAGAUCCUUUGAAAACACAACUGCGAUAAUGUCACCUCGGUGCACUCAACAAGCCAGUGGCUUCCCAUUGUAGUUGCGGGAAAACCCUAAAUCGUUAUAGCUCACCAAGCUCCAGACCUCAGGGUCCAGUUCCCCUCAACCUCCUCUCCUCCUGCCUGGUCACUCACCUGCUUUAAACACACAGGCCUCUUUGCUGUUCCCCUCGGAGCCCGUGUACCUGCCGUUUCCUCCCCCAAAUGUCUUCAGAUGCUUCUGUGGUGGAUGCCUUCCCUUCCAGGUCUCUGCCCAAAUACCACCUUCUUAGAGCUUCCCCGGACCCCCAGCUGCUGUGCCCUCAACUCUCUCUCACAUGUACACCCUAAUUCUCCUCUUCACCCCUUACCCACCUUAGUUUUUCUCCUAAGUGCUUAUUUCCACCCGAAAUUAUUUUACUUAUAAAGUGUACAAAUAAUUUAAAAAUGUUACAAUAUUGUC